AUAAACCAACAUAAACAUUUCAAAAACAUUCUCUCUCUCCCUCUUGAACACUCACGGCCGAACACCCCCUAUUACAUUCCCAUUUUCAUUUUCAAACUCAAAUCUUGAAGAAUCAUGUCCAUUCCAAAGUGAUUUCAAGCUUACAUGAAGGUUUAGAAGUGAUUUCAAGGAGGUUUGAGCAAGAACAAGGCUUCACAUCAUCAUAAAUCAUAAAACCCACUAGAAAUCUUGAAGGUAUAACAUAUUUUCUUUUAAAUCUUGAUCUUGAUUCACGGUGAUGAAGAUGAUAGUACUUGAGUUCGGCUUCGGGAAUCAUGGUGUAUCUUGUGUUUGAUGAUGCAUGUUGUGUUACUUAAAAAUGUUGGACUAACUUUUUAAACUCUCUGGGACGAAUGUAAUAAGAUCCGCGAGGAUCAAAGACAACUUAACUUAUGUGG
rnacentral:lncRNA from 1 species